UACAUGGGGUGCAAACGUUGCUCGGAAUUAUUGGGCGUAAAGCGCGCGUAGGCGGUUACUUAAGUCGGAUGUGAAAGCCCUCGGCUUAACUGAGGAAGUGCACCCGAAACUGAGUAGCUAGAGUACGAAAGAGGGUCGCGGAAUUCCCGGUGUAGAGGUGAAAUUCGUAGAUAUCGGGAGGAACACCGGUGGCGAAGGCGGCGACCUGGGUUGACACUGACGCUGAGGCGCGAAAGCGUGGGGAGCAAACAAG
rnacentral:rRNA from 1 species